UUUGAUCGCCAUGCCGGUGUUAGACUCCUAAGGAUUUUUUGAACUAGUUCUUUGUCUGUGAAUGUCUUCUUGAGCGGGUGGAGAUCAUUCACUAUUGAUGAGAACCGUUCAAACAUCUCGUCUACCUUUUCGCCUUCCUUCAUAUGGAACAACUCGUAAGCAUGAGUUAAAAAGUCAAUUUUAGCUUCUCUUACCUGGUCAGUCCCUUCGUAAGUGACCUCAAGCUUGUCCCACAUUUCUUUCGCUGUUUUGCNNNN
rnacentral:lncRNA from 1 species